rnacentral:rRNA from 1 species
AGUAACGCGUGAGGAACCUGCCUCAAAGAGGGGGACAACAGUUGGAAACGACUGCUAAUACCGCAUAAGCCCACAGCUCGGCAUCGAGCAGGGGGAAAAGGAGUGAUCCGCUUUGAGAUGGCCUCGCGUCCGAUUAGCUAGUUGGUGAGGUAAUGGCCCACCAAGGCGACGAUCGGUAGCCGGACUGAGAGGUUGAACGGCCACAUUGGGACUGAGACACGGCCCAG